CGGUCGCCACCUGAGUUCAGAGGCUGGAAUUCUCUAUCCUAUAUAACGUCGAUUUUUACAAAAAUAUAGAACUUUAU
rnacentral:tRNA from 1 species